rnacentral:misc_RNA from 1 species
UCGUUUUGUACAUAUACACAAUACAGAAGCAGACAGCAUAGUUUAAUUUGAGCACGAGAAAAUCCGGUUGAAAUUAACACUAAUUUAAACGUUAAACAAAAUUUGUGCGCGAAGCGUUUAACAUUUUUCACUUACAUCCAACAUUCACGUACAGGAAGCGUAUUGAUUAUUAGGCAAUCACUGUGGAUUCUAGGCGGAAAUAGAGCAGAAUGCAGAAGUUCGCUAGGGACAAUUGGGUGGCAAGGGCAGCGCAUGAAAAUAUUGAAACUCAACAUCAGAAACAAUGUGAUGCAGGUUUUCUGGGCAAUUUUCUUUCGAAAGGUCUUAAAUCAAAUCAAUUAAUUGUUAAUACGGAUGAAAAAACAUUGAAGCCAAUUGCACGAUUGAAGGAACCUCGGGAUUUAUUCGCACUGCCUAAGGAUAAGGACAAUGAUUGCUCACAGCAGGCCCCCAGAUGGCCGGUAGAAUGCCAGGUCAUUGGAGAGCGAAUUAUACACAUUCCUUAUGUGCCAGUGCAACCCGAACCACUUAACGUGCCAACGGGCAAUGAGCUAAAGCCGCGCCCAGUUGGUGAGGAAAACGGCAUUGUUGUUUUUUCAUACUGUCCUAUAAGUGCUGUAAACUAUGGAAGCACACAUACAAAAAUCAAGACAGAGGAAAAGUCAAGUGAAGAUUCAGAUGACUCUUCGGAUUCCAGGAAUGAAUUCAUAUCUGUUAAUCGGAGAAUGACGCUACAGUCGGGGAAAACACAUCUAAACAGGGUGUCUAAACUAUUUAAUAGGUUGGAUGAUCACUCUACGAGCAAUUCUCAGGAUGAUGAUGAUGACUACAAUGUAAGUGUGGAUGGUAAAGAGACCCGUGAGAAACCCGUUAUUCAGAGUAUCAUCGAUGCGAAGAAAAAACGGUUCGAAACUACAACACUACAGCAUAGCACAGAUGGAAAGAUUAAGGGCACUUCUAAAGUUGACGACAUUUGGAAGAACAAUAGUUCUGAGUACAAACCCGCUUCGCCGCAUUACGUUCUUAGUCAGUUUGGCAAAAAAGUAUCUAAGGCGAUUAUUAAAAAGAUUAUCGAUUACGACGAAAAGCCCUCGACUGGCACUAGCAGCCUAACCUCAGAAAAGGUACAGAAUAAAUAUGCAGUUACCCCCUUCAAGCUUCCCAAAACAAAUAUUCCACGCCUGGAAGUUGCUUUCCAAGGCAAUUCACAACAAUCAUUUGAAAAAGUUUCACAUUCACGCAAAUGUAACAUGAUCGGUGACAGGGACGAAGACAUAAACAGCAGUGACGACUGCAGCAUAGAAAUGAAUGACAUUGUAAACGACGACGUUAUAAGUGGCUGCGACGGGAAAGUUUCAGUUGGUCGUUUAGUCGGUGGCGCGGAUAAGUGUCCCCGUACUAGCUCGAGCUCAGUAUCGGAUUCAGAAACGCUAGUUGGGGAAGAAAGCAUGUGCAGGAUUGCAUCAGCACCGGAUAAAAUGCCUAAGGAUUUGCCUUUGAUUCCAGCACCACUUUGUACGCGAGCCGUGACCAUGGCUGCAGCAGUAGCAGCUGUGGCAAGGGGUCGUCGUCGAGGUUUUGAAUCGAUUCCGGGCAGCAAUAUUGGGGUACCUCAUAUGAGUACUAGCAUUAACACUAGCACUUAUGAUCAAGCUAACGAUAGACAUAAUCCUGAGCUUAAUAAUGUUACUGAUCGGACAACCUUUCAAUCUCAACAUAUUUCCUAUGAUAUUCCCCAAAUGCAGUUCAGUCGCUCAUCAGUGGGGGGCGCUAAAUAUGUGUCCAACUGUCAUCCUAUGAACGCCGAGGAGUACGAAAGUCUAGAAUUUGAGUCCCGCUUCGAAUCAGGAAAUUUGGCUAAGGCAGUGCAGAUUACACCCACUUAUUAUGAGCUUUAUCUACGCCCUGAUCUCUAUACAAGCCGAUCGAAACAAUGGUUCUAUUUUCGCGUUCGACACACCCGUCGUAACAUGCUCUACCGGUUCUCCAUUGUAAAUUUAGUGAAGUCAGAUAGCCUUUAUAACGAUGGAAUGCGACCAGUUAUGUACUCUACUUUGGGAGCAAAGGAAAAAAACGAAGGCUGGAGAAGAUGUGGUAACAACAUAUCCUAUUAUCGUAAUGAUGAUGAAAGCAACAAUAAUACAAAUGAAGAGGACGAGGAUAAUUCGAGCUACACCCUGACUUUUACUAUUGAGUUUGAGCAUGAUAAUGAUACAGUAUUCUUUGCGCAUAGCUACCCGUACACAUACAGUGACUUGCAGGAUUAUUUGAUGGAAAUACAGCGUCACCCUGUAAAAUCAAAAUUUUGUAAGCUGCGACUGCUCUGCCGGACGUUAGCAGGCAAUAAUGUGUAUUAUCUGACUGUUACUGCACCAUCUAAUAAUGACGAUACAAUGCGGCGCAAAAAAUCGAUCGUUGUAUCGGCACGCGUGCAUCCCAGCGAGACGCCAUCAUCAUGGAUGAUGAAGGGUCUGAUGGAUUUCAUAACAGGAGAUUCUACAGUAGCAAAGCGUCUACGUCACAAAUUUAUAUUUAAACUAGUACCGAUGCUAAAUCCAGAUGGUGUAAUAGUUGGCAACACUCGGAACUCGCUAACUGGGAAGGACUUAAAUCGUCAGUAUCGAACUGUUAUUAGAGAAACUUAUCCAUCUAUUUGGUAUACAAAAGCGAUGAUAAGAAGUUCUCAUUUGAGAGCUGUAAGUUUAAAAUACAACGGAGCAAGGAAGGUACAGGACGCAUUGUUGUUUGGAUGCUGGGCAUUACGAACAGCUAUACUAUUGAAGCAUCUUUUGGCGGCUCUUCACUGGGGUCACGUAAAGGCACACAUUUCAACAUUCAGGAUUAUGAGCACAUGGGACGAGCGUUUUGUGAAACUUUAUUGGACUAUUGUGAUGAAAAUCCGAACAAAGAAAGACUCCGCUCUAAAAUAAUCGAAAGACUGAUGCGUGAAGGCUCAAGCGCUGAUGAGCCAUUGAAUAUACCACUUUCCGAUUAUUCCAGUGACGAAGGUAACUGCAGCUCUAGCUCUGACAAUGAAGGCAAACAUUCGAUUACAGCGUCUGAUCUUGAAGGUCCUUGCUGUGCGCCU